GCCGACAUGGUGAAAUUGGUAGACACGCUAUCUUGAGGGGGUAGUGGGCGUAGCCCGUGUGAGUUCGAGUCUCACUGUCGGCACCA
rnacentral:tRNA from 1 species